UACGAAGGGGGCUAGCGUUGCUCGGAAUCACUGGGCGUAAAGGGCGCGUAGGCGGCCAUUCAAGUCAGGGGUGAAAGCCUGUGGCUCAACCACAGGAUUGCCUUUGAUACUGUUUGGCUAGAGACCGGAAGAGGUAAGUGGAACUGCGAGUGUAGAGGUGAAAUUCGUAGAUAUUCGCAAGAACACCAGUGGCGAAGGCGGCUUACUGGUCCGGUUCUGACGCUGAGGCGCGAAAGCCAGGGGAGCAAAGCGGG
rnacentral:rRNA from 1 species